rnacentral:sRNA from 3 species
GUUUGCACUUGUCGGGGAAGGGUGAGAACCUUCGAUUAAGGUUCGACUUGAGCGAAAGCGAGAGAACGUUGCCAACGGCAACGG